CGGCGUGCGUUCACAGUGGCAUCUCUGUGCAAUCACUGCAUGGAAAACGCCAUCAUAACCGCACAGAGAGCGCACGUGGUGAAUAACAGCGCCGUGCUCGCACUGCGAUAAAAAUGCACCGUAACCGCACUGCAAUGAAAAUGCGUCGGAACCGCCGUGACAUGUGUUGUGAACGGCCGCGUUCAACACAACAAUUAGUGAGUUGUCUUGUCACCACUUGACGUUAAUUUGUUUUGUUUUAUAAGUAUAAGAGCCAAUUACGUUCGAUUACUACAAAGCAGCAUAUUCUAGUGAACAAAGGUGGUAUGUUUUGGCGAGGUUAUUCUCAUUGUGGCAGUUGACUCAGAUGAUUUUCUAAAUUUUUAAAAUGUCGAUCAGGCGACUUAUGACAAUGUGGUCAAUCACUUCAUCUAUUUAGGUGGUAUAAAUCCCGUGGACUCUGCAAGACAUUAUUUUACAUGUGUCUUUACUAGCAAUAUAGAUAUUUUAUCUCAUGUCACGUGGCUGGGUACAAACAAUUUAUACGCUUUAAAAGGAACUCGCUUCGCCGAAGCAUGUGAAGGUCACGUCUUUAUUAUAUUAUUUUGACUACAUUGUUUUCAUAUCUGAUUAAUGUUAAA